rnacentral:rRNA from 1 species
GACGAACGCUGGCGGCGUGCUUAACACAUGCAAGUCGAACGGAAAGGCCCUGCUUUUGUGGGGUGCUCGAGUGGCGAACGGGUGAGUAACACGUGAGUAACCUGCCCUUGACUUUGGGAUAACUUCAGGAAACUGGGGCUAAUACCGGAUAGGAGCUCCUGCUGCAUGGUGGGGGUUGGAAAGUUUCGGCGGUUGGGGAUGGACUCGCGGCUUAUCAGCUUGUUGGUGGGGUAGUGGCUUACCAAGGCUUUGACGGGUAGCCGGCCUGGGAGGGUGACCGGGCAAAUUGGGACUGAGGUACGGCCCAGACUCCUACGGGAGGCAGGAGGGGGGAAUAUUGCACAAUGGGCCGAAGCCUGAGGCAAGAACCCCGGGGGCGGGAUGACGGCCUUUGGGGUGGAAACCGCUUUCGCCUGGGACGAAGCGUUAGUGACGGUAAUGGGUAAAGAAGCACCGGCUAACUACGUG